rnacentral:rRNA from 1 species
AGGGGGGGAUCUUAGGACCUCUCGCUACAGGGGCGGCCGAUGGCAGAUUAGCUAGUUGGUGGGGUAAAGGCCUACCAAGGCGACGAUCUGUAGCUGGUCUGAGAGGACGACCAGCCACACUGGGACUGAGACACGGCCCAGACUCCUACGGGAGGCAGCAGUGGGGAAUUUUGGACAAUGGGGGCAACCCUGAUCCAGCAAUGCCGCGUGUGUGAAGAAGGCCUUCGGGUUGUAAAGCACUUUUGUCCGGAAAGAAAACGCUCUGGUUAAUACCCGGGGCGGAUGACGGUACCGGAAGAAUAAGCACCGGCUAACUACGUGCCAGCAGCCGCGGUAAUACGUAGGGUGCAAGCGUUAAUCGGAAUUACUGGGCGUAAAGCGUGCGCAGGCGGUCCGCUAAGACAGAUGUGAAAUCCCCGGGCUUAACCUGGGAACUGCAUUUGUGACUGGCGGG